rnacentral:rRNA from 1 species
CCCUAUGGGGUGCAGCAGGCGCGAAACCUCCGCAAUGCACGAAAGUGUGACGGGGUCACCCCGAGUGCCAUCCGCUGAGGGUGGCUUUUGCUCGGUGUAAUGAGCCGAGUGAAUAAGGGGAGGGCAAGUCUGGUGUCAGCCGCCGCGGUAAUACCAGCUCCUCGAGUUGUUGGGACGAUUAUUGGGUCUAAAGCGUCCGUAGCCGGCCGGAAAAGUUCACCGUUAAAUCCGACGAUUCAAUCGUCGGGCUGCGGAGAAUACUCUUCGGCUUGGGGGCGGGGGAGGUCGGCGGUAGUCCCGGGGUAGGGGCGAAAUCUUAUAAUCCCGGGAGGACCACCAGUGGCGAAGGCGGCCGACUAAAACGCGCCCGACGGUGAGGGACGAAAGCUGGGGGAGCGAACGGGAUUAGAUACCCCGGUAGUCCCAGCUGUAAACAAUGCAGGCUAGGUGUCGGGAUGGCUACGGGCCAGCUCGGUGCCGCAGGGAAGCCAUUAAGCCUGCCACCUGGGAAGUACGGUCGCAAGGCUGAAAUCCGGAAAGGCUUACAAUAUUCAGUGUUAACUGAGAUCAAUUUAAAAUAAUUCGAGGGCGCGCACCCUUGGUAUAAAAUCAAUUGUUCUUGACUGAGCUUUUUGGUUCAGUAUUUUAUCGGUGGUGAGCCUUCCUGACAGCAUACUUAAAGGGAAUUGGCGGGGGAGCACCACAAGGGGUGAAGCUUGCCGUUUAAUUGGAGUCACACCGG